rnacentral:rRNA from 1 species
UACCAGCACCCCGAGUGGUCGGGACGAUUAUUGGGCCUAAAGCAUCCGUAGCCGGUUUUACAAGUCCUCCGUUAAAUCCAGCUGCUUAACAGAUGGGCUGCGGAGGAUACUAUAAGACUAGGAGGCAGGAGAGGCAAGCGGUACUCAGUGGGUAGGGGUAAAAUCCGUUGAUCCAUUGAAGACCACCAGUGGCGAAGGCGGCUUGCCAGAAUGCGCUCGACGGUGAGGGAUGAAGCUGGGGGAGC